AAAAAAGUGGCUGCUGGAAGAAAAAUAGCUAAGGAAAUAUUUUAUGUGCACUUUUUUUAAUAAAAAUGAGGUGAAAUUUUAAAUUAAAUUAUAGGGUCUAACAAUCCUAUAAAAAAGAAAAAAAGAAAGAAUUGACUGAAUCUAGUGAAGAAUUGGACGAUUCAUAUCAAUCCACCUGAUUUACAAUCCACUCUUUUAAUUUAGUCACAGUUCAUAAGAAUUGUACUACAUUAAAUCAAAUUGGG
rnacentral:misc_RNA from 1 species